rnacentral:rRNA from 1 species
UACGUAGGGGGCUAGCGUUGUCCGGAUUUAUUGGGCGUAAAGAGCGUGUAGGCGGCCAGGUAGGUCUGGUGUGAAAACUCGAGGCUUAACCUCGAGAUGUCAUCGGAAACCAUCUGGCUAGAGUCCGGGAGAGGUGAGUGGAACUCCGAGUGUAGAGGUGAAAUUCGUAGAUAUUCGGAAGAACACCAGUGGCGAAGGCGGCUCACUGGCCCGGUACUGACGCUGAGGUGCGAAAGCGUGGGGAGCAAACAGG